rnacentral:misc_RNA from 1 species
AUGAAAUUCAGUCAAUAAAUGCCUAUGGAUGACCAGAACUUCAAGCCACCCAACUUCACAAGUUUUCUAUCUCUAAAGGCCAGGAUGGUGGUAGUCUCAUACACAAAAAUAAAUAAAUAAAAUAUUACUUUGCUUCAUGGUUCAUUUGGAAUUGACUAAGCCUUAAGAGAUUUAUGAAGACUGAAUUGCAGGACAUUCGGUAAGAAGGAAACCACAAAAGAAAUGCAAGUUCUACAGGGAAAUAGUUUUGAACGACACUGCAGUUAUUACAAAAUCAAGUAGCUUUCUACAUUACGGGUUUCUACUUCUAGGAGAUUAGAAGCAACAUCAUUCAUUGUAUCCAGCUGGAUCCAAGCUUACUGUGCGUCUUCAACUCUCUUGUUCCAUGGUAUCAUUUAGAAUAGGAUACCUUGUUCUUCUAGUUAGAUGACAACCAUCUCUAUCAUUAACAAAAUCUCUGACGUCAAAAGAAAUAAAGCAGAAUAAGAAGAAAGAAAGACAGACUUAAAGAACUUCAUAACCUGUCUUUUGAAUUAUCAAGAUUUAAAAUUCUUUGGGAAAAUGAUGUGAUAUACGUUGAACAACCUGAAAACAAUGCUGCAACAUUGAUCUGAGAGGGUUGAUCUAUUAAAAAUAGAACAGAACUAAUAUCUUAAGUUAACGUUAAUUUGUCUCCAAUUUGCGUAAGUGCAACAAUAAGGUUAACUCCUUUGUGACUGGACAAGUCACAAGUCAUGGAUAUAGCACCUCUGCAGAUAAGCAAGAAGAAGGGUGUGUACAAUGGAUGACAUCUUUCAGCCCUCACCAAGCAGGGAGCCUCACACUCGGAGCACUUUUUUUUUUUUUUUUU